AACGCGAAGAACCUUACCUGGGUUUGACAUGGCCGCAAAACCUGCAGAGAUGUGGGGUCCUUCGGGGGCGGUCACAGGUGGUGCAUGGCUGUCGUCAGCUCGUGUCGUGAGAUGUUGGGUUAAGUCCCGCAACGAGCGCAACCCUUGUCCUAUGUUGCCAGCAAGCCCUUCGGGGUGUUGGGGACUCAUAGGAGACUGCCGGGGUCAACUCGGAGGAAGGUGGGGAUGACGUCAAGUCAUCAUGCCCCUUAUGUCCAGGGCUUCACGCAUGCUACAAUGGCCGGUACAAAGGGCUGCGAUGCUGUAAGGCGGAGCGAAUCCCAAAAAGCCGGUCUCAGUUCGGAUUGGGGUCUGCAACUCGACCCCAUGAAGUCGGAGUCGCUAGUAAUCGUGGAUCAGCAUGCCACGGUGAAUACGUUCCCGGGCCUUGUACACACCG
rnacentral:rRNA from 1 species